GACAGAGGGUGCAAGCGUUGUCCGGAAUUACUGGGUGUAAAGCGCGUGUAGGCGGGAGGCCAAGUCUGCUGUGAAAUCGCCCGGCUCAACUGGGCGGGGUCGGUGGAAACUGGUCACCUGGAGGACGGUAGAGGCGAGUGGAAUUCCCGGUGUAGUGGUGAAAUGCGUAGAGAUCGGGAGGAACACCAGUGGCGAAGGCGGCUCGCUGGGCCGGACCUGACGCUGAGACGCGAAGGCGUGGGGAGCGAACGGG
rnacentral:rRNA from 1 species